rnacentral:rRNA from 1 species
UACGGAGGGUGCAAGCGUUAUCCGGAUUCACUGGGUUUAAAGGGUGCGUAGGUGGCUAGUAAGUCAGUGGUGAAAUCUCCGGGCUUAACCCGGGAAACUGCCAUUGAUACUAUAUAUCUUGAAUGCUGUGGAGGUAAGCAGAAUAUGUCAUGUAGCGGUGAAAUGCUUAGAGAUGACAUAGAAUACUAAUUGCGAAUGGCAGCUUACUACGCAGAUAUUGACGCUCAUGCACGAAAGCGUGGGGGAUCAAACAGG